rnacentral:lncRNA from 1 species
GCUGUGGCUAAUCACAAUCUCUGAAUGCGCAGCACAACCAUCUGACAGGCGGCUCUCCUCUCCCUCAGCCUGGAGAUGGUCCCAGAUUGUCAUGAGACAGACCACCUUGCUCCUAGUGGCACACAGGACGUACACAAUGGCUGCGCAUGGAGUUAAUGACAUGAAAGUGCCACACUGACGUCUGCCCGUCCGGAGUAGCUGUUAACCCCGGGCAUUUUAUUGCCCCAUUUGCCAGGUCUCUCAUCUCAGCCGCCUACGAAGGUCAAAUCCUGCAUAUUUACGCCAAACUUGAGAGUUGACCAAGUGCCUUUCCCAUGCAUCUUCCUGUUUCACCCCAAGCCGAAAGGUUUGGAAAACAUGCCACCCUUUUAACCUCGGAGAGACUUCUGCCUGGGAAAAGAAUUAAGUGAAAUAAACUCUUUUGAGGGCCUGUGAUCA